rfam:Gossypium hirsutum cultivar TM-1 chromosome 11, whole genome shotgun sequence
UGUUAAAAAUUUCAUCCACUUGUUCUGUUAAAAACUAGUAUGGCUAACGGAAUAGUUAAACAGCAUCACAUGACAUAUCAUGUGUACCUCAUGCUAACAUACGGGGACUAGUUUUUAAUAGCAAAAUUGGAUAUAAUUUUCAACA